AAGUCGUAACAAGGUUUCCGUAGGUGAACCUGCGGAAGGAUCAUUAAAAAAUCUUUAUAUGAGCCGCAAGGCUCUGAUAUUUUGUGAAACUGUGGGUAUAUCACCGGUUUGCUCGCUGUUGUUGCAGGAGUAAGUGUGUAGUAGUGGAGGUUCACUUGUUAUUGUGGACUUCUUCGAAAGACUUUGCUUCUGUGGCGAUAAGGCAGCGGGUAUUAGGUGGUUAUACAAGCUUUAAUACGUAUGAUUUUGAUGUUGAGGAAGUAUUAUAUCAAUAUAAUAUUUAUACAACUUUCAACAGUGGAUCUCUCGGCUCUU
rnacentral:misc_RNA from 1 species